UGAUCCAAUAUGACAUGAACCACAUCACAUAAUACUUGUUUUGAUUUAUUUUUUAUGUGUAUAGAAUAAUUUAAAUCAUGUCAUUCCAUAGCCAAAUCCAUUUCCAAGCACAUGCAAUACCCAAUGGGGGUAACAAGAGUGUUUGCCGACGCCUUAUAGUGGGAUCCAAAAACAUUAUACACUAUAAAUAAGUAACCUCUUUAGGCUAAGGGUGAUUGUACCCUUAGCUUUGGGUGUGUUUCAAAAAAAAAAAAAAGAUUAUAUGAUGCAAUAUAAGUUGUAAAUAAUGCAAUCAUGGGUUGUACUGAGGUUUUGGAAAGCAAUCUUUACUGACUAAAAACACAUCUUCCUUGCUAUCUUCUCAAGAAACGAAACAAAUAAAGAGAGAAAGAUGGAUGUCUCUCAUCACCGCAAACUACCACAAACCACCGUAAACUACAUCCUCCACCUUACACCUAUGGUUUGUACACAUUACAACUAGGGUUCUACAAAGAUGCCGAAAUCCAAGAGUUUGAGCAGGGAAAAGACGUAAGUAAAGGGGAUCGAGCGAUGUGCUCUGUUGGUAGCCUGCGGUGGUUUUGGAUGCUGCUUCUUCUACGAUUUUGUUUGUUUAGAUUGUUUGUGCAAAACUGGAUGCCUCUUGUCGUCGUUCUUUGCCGAUUAUUACUCAUCUUAUGAAGAUGGAUGAAGUAUAGAUUGUUUUUUUAUUGGAAUGCCGAUGACGAUGAUUUGGAUAGCGGAAGAUAAAUUAAGAUUGGACACCUUGGUCACAUCAGAGGCUAGGCACGCAUCGCAUGAUGCAGUGAUUCUACCCGUAAAAUUCGCACACUUUUUGUUAAUUACUUUUCUUUUUAUUUAAAAUUUGAUGAUGCGGUCAAGAAAAUGAAUUGCAAAAAUUGUUUAGAGAUGAUGAUGCUUUAGAGCUCUUAGUGGCGUGUGAGUGAUAUUGCUUUAGAACGUGUUCUUAGUGGCGAGUGAGUGAUAAUUGCUUUUGCUGAUUGUUAUGGUGUGUUAAUCAUUUAAACAACAUUCAUUAUAUAACAAUAAUGUUGAAAAAAAGCAGAGUGUUUGAUGAUUUUGAGAUUCAAAGGAAAGUCACUAGGAAGCGGAAAUGGAAUCAAAGAGAUGAUGAUGGGGAGAUGGUUUCAAAGAAAAACGAACUCAGGAAGAGAUUGUGAAGUUGAAGAAGAAGCAUUGACAAGGGAGGAGCAAUAAUUAUUUUAGAAGGCGAAUUAGAAAGCAUAGUAUAUUAGUAUUAAUAAAAAUACAGGUUGGACUCUAAAUUUUUAUGGAUAUUACAUAGCAUUAUUGGAUUUUGUAAAGAGAACUCUUGAAACAGUAUGUGUUAAUUUUCAAUUUUAAACAUGCUACAAUGUGCAAUUCUUUGACCAA